rnacentral:misc_RNA from 1 species
AAUAAUAAUAAUAAUAAAACAAACAAACAAAGAAAGCUCUCCAAUUGAAACUUCACUCAAAACACCUAUCAGUCUAACUUCAUUUCCCUCCUACUAAUUAAAAGUCAAACAAAAAAAUUUGAGAAAGCCUGCCUCCUCUUUUCCCGAUAACUUUAUUUCCCAGUAAACAAGCAGAUAUAAAAAAAAAACUUGAAACUAAUUUAACCACCACUCCACUAAAAUGUAACUAAUGACAUCCAGUAGUUCAAUUAUUAUUGAAAGAAGAUUCUAUUGCCUGUUACAAUUUUGACCAUGAUGCGUCCCACAUCGGUUC